UGGGGAAUUUUGGACAAUGGGCGAAAGCCUGAUCCAGCAAUGCCGCGUGUGUGAAGAAGGCCUUCGGGUUGUAAAGCACUUUUGUCCGGAAAGAAAUCCUUGGCUCUAAUACAGUCGGGGGAUGACGGUACCGGAAGAAUAAGCACCGGCUAACUACGUGCCAGCAGCCGCGGUAAUACGUAGGGUGCAAGCGUUAAUCGGAAUUACUGGGCGUAAAGCGUGCGCAGGCGGUUUGCUAAGACCGAUGUGAAAUCCCCGGGCUCAACCUGGGAACUGCAUUGGUGACUGGCAGGCUAGAGUAUGGCAGAGGGGGGUAGAAUUCCACGUGUAGCAGUGAAAUGCGUAGAGAUGUGGAGGAAUACCGAUGGCGAAGGCAGCCCCCUGGCAAGUACUGACGCUCAUGCACGAAAGCGUGGGGAGCAAACNGGAUUAAUACCCUGGUAGUCCACGCCCUAAANGAUGUCAACUAGUUGUUGGGGAUUCAUUUCCUAGUAACGUAGCUAACGCGUGAAGUUGACCGCCUGGGGAGUACGGUCGCAAGAUUAAAACUUAAAUAAUU
rnacentral:rRNA from 1 species